AGGCACAGUGAGGGUCUGGCUGCAGAAUAUUUUGCCAGGAGUGGCUGUGAUUCCAUGAGCAGAAUAUGAGCCGUGUAUUCCACUCAUUUUUUUGUGUUCUUAAUAUAGCAAAAAGCAGAGCAUCUGGAGUCGCUGUAGAGGAGGGAUGCAGGGUGAACCUGGACAUCGAUGGCUGCCUGUCUGGAGAAUGCUACUUCAUUAAUCUGUAAUUACUUCUGUUAACCCUCUAGGACAGGACCCUUGCCAUUUUCUUCCACAGACGUGGGGCAGUGAUGUGUGGUGGCAGUAGGUUAAACUCUUGUAUCUACUACCCCAAGCUGUAGGUGGUAUCCAGUGGCACGGACAGAGUUUUCAGGUACUCAUUGCUAUUCUCUGGGAUCCUGUGGCCAAGAGAAGGUGGCAGGUGCUGACACCUUCUUCUCUGGGUUACAGCUGCUUUUGGUAUUGGUUCUCUUGUCUGGCAUAUGGAUGUAGCUGUCACUUCUGUUUCUGCAGGGCAGUCUGGAUCCUGGGGACCUCCUCCGUUAACUGGACGAUUCUGCAUGCCUUACCCUGGAGACACCCCGCCCCCAUGGACUAUUAGGCACGUCCACCUCCUGAACCUUAGUGGCCCUGAGGCCACCCGGAACCCCUCCACCUGCAACACUUGAUGCAAAACCUUUACUGCCGAGUCUACGGGCUUCCCUGUUUCCCAGAAUGGCAAUCUGUUUGGUGGUAAACUUGAGCAGCUAAGCGUGCCUAAAGGU
rnacentral:lncRNA from 1 species